GAAGCAGGCAUCGCCAGCAGGAGCAGCAAGGGCAGCGAGGCCAGCACGUGCAGCAUGGCCGCCGCUAGUGCCAGGGGCCGGAACCUGGUCGCCUGGCGACCGGCAAACGCCCCUCCCCCAAGAACAGGCCUGGCUCUGAGGCAGCAGGUUCCAGCGAGACCCAUGGCCUUUCAUGAGCAGCCUGGCCAGAAACUGGCUGUGAUAACAAAACUGAAAUCAGAUGGACCCAAUAUUCCCGACUGGAGUGUGCACAGAAAGAGCUUGCUGACAUCACAGCCUGAAUUUCCACCAUGUUUCAUAUAACUCCUCCAGAAUUUGCACAGGAGACCCAUGAGGAGGCAUGAAGAGUUAAUUGCACAUGCCUGAGAACUUUCCAGACCUCCUGCUUCCUUCUACCAAUCACCCACCUACUAAUCCCAGUAUCCAUCCCCUAAACCUUUUCUAAUAAAAUUACUGCCUUAAAGCCAGCACAGGGAGACACAUUGAAGCUGGACUCCUGCUUCCUUGCUAGUUGACUUGCAAUAAAAAGCUUUUCUUGGCUGGGCA